GGUUAAGCGACUAAGCGUACACGGUGGAUGCCCUGGCAGUCAGAGGCGAUGAAGGACGUGCUAAUCUGCGAAAAGCGCCGGCGAGGUGAUAUGAACCUUUGACCCGGCGAUGUCCGAAUGGGGAAACCCAGUGUGUUCCGACACACUAUCGUUAACUGAAUACAUAGGUUAACGAGGCGAACCGGGGGAACUGAAACAUCUAAGUACCCCGAGGAAAAGAAAUCAACCGAGAUUCCCCCAGUAGCGGCGAGCGAACGGGGAGCAGCCCAGAGUCUGAAUCAGCUUGUGUGUUAGUGGAAGCGUCUGGAAAGUCGCACGGUACAGGGUGACAGUCCCGUACACGAAAAUGCACAGGUUGUGAACUCGAAGAGUAGGGCGGGACACGUGGUAUCCUGUCUGAAUAUGGGGGGACCAUCCUCCAAGGCUAAAUACUCCUGACUGACCGAUAGUGAACCAGUACCGUGAGGGAAAGGCGAAAAGAACCCCGGCGAGGGGAGUGAAAAAGAACCUGAAACCGUGUACGUACAAGCAGUGGGAGCACCUUCGUGGUGUGACUGCGUACCUUUUGUAUAAUGGGUCAGCGACUUAUAUUCUGUAGCAAGGUUAACCGUAUAGGGGAGCCGAAGGGAAACCGAGUCUUAACUGGGCGUUAAGUUGCAGGGUAUAGACCCGAAACCCGGUGAUCUAGCCAUGGGCAGGUUGAAGGUUGGGUAACACUAACUGGAGGACCGAACCGACUAAUGUUGAAAAAUUAGCGGAUGACUUGUGGCUGGGGGUGAAAGGCCAAUCAAACCGGGAGAUAGCUGGUUCUCCCCGAAAGCUAUUUAGGUAGCGCCUCGUGAACUCAUCUUCGGGGGUAGAGCACUGUUUCGGCUAGGGGGCCAUCCCGGCUUACCAACCCGAUGCAAACUACGAAUACCGAAGAAUGUUAUCACGGGAGACACACGGCGGGUGCUAACGUCCGUCGUGAAGAGGGAAACAACCCAGACCGCCAGCUAAGGUCCCAAAGUCAUGGUUAAGUGGGAAACGAUGUGGGAAGGCACAGACAGCCAGGAUGUUGGCUUAGAAGCAGCCAUCAUUUAAAGAAAGCGUAAUAGCUCACUGGUCGAGUCGGCCUGCGCGGAAGAUGUAACGGGGCUAAACCAUGCACCGAAGCUGCGGCAGCGACGCUUAUGCGUUGUUGGGUAGGGGAGCGUUCUGUAAGCCGUUGAAGGUGUGCUGUGAGGCAUGCUGGAGGUAUCAGAAGUGCGAAUGCUGACAUAAGUAACGAUAAAGCGGGUGAAAAGCCCGCUCGCCGGAAGACCAAGGGUUCCUGUCCAACGUUAAUCGGGGCAGGGUGAGUCGACCCCUAAGGCGAGGCCGAAAGGCGUAGUCGAUGGGAAACAGGUUAAUAUUCCUGUACUUGGUGUUACUGCGAAGGGGGGACGGAGAAGGCUAUGUUAGCCGGGCGACGGUUGUCCCGGUUUAAGCAUGUAGGCGGAGGUUCCAGGUAAAUCCGGUACCUUUUAACGCUGAGGUGUGAUGACGAGGCACUACGGUGCUGAAGUAACAAAUGCCCUGCUUCCAGGAAAAGCCUCUAAGCAUCAGGUAACAUCAAAUCGUACCCCAAACCGACACAGGUGGUCAGGUAGAGAAUACCAAGGCGCUUGAGAGAACUCGGGUGAAGGAACUAGGCAAAAUGGUGCCGUAACUUCGGGAGAAGGCACGCUGAUAUGUAGGUGAAGCCCCUGCGGGUGGAGCUGAAAUCAGUCGAAGAUACCAGCUGGCUGCAACUGUUUAUUAAAAACACAGCACUGUGCAAACACGAAAGUGGACGUAUACGGUGUGACGCCUGCCCGGUGCCGGAAGGUUAAUUGAUGGGGUUAGCGGUAACGCGAAGCUCUUGAUCGAAGCCCCGGUAAACGGCGGCCGUAACUAUAACGGUCCUAAGGUAGCGAAAUUCCUUGUCGGGUAAGUUCCGACCUGCACGAAUGGCGUAAUGAUGGCCAGGCUGUCUCCACCCGAGACUCAGUGAAAUUGAACUCGCUGUGAAGAUGCAGUGUACCCGCGGCAAGACGGAAAGACCCCGUGAACCUUUACUAUAGCUUGACACUGAACACUGGUCCUUGAUGUGUAGGAUAGGUGGGAGGCUUUGAAGCGUGGACGCCAGUCUGCGUGGAGCCGUCCUUGAAAUACCACCCUUUAAUGGCUGGUGUUCUAACGUAGACCCGUGAUCCGGGUUGCGGACAGUGUCUGGUGGGUAGUUUGACUGGGGCGGUCUCCUCCCAAAGAGUAACGGAGGAGCACGAAGGUUAGCUAAUCCUGGUCGGACAUCAGGAGGUUAGUGCAAUGGCAUAAGCUAGCUUGACUGCGAGAGUGACGGCUCGAGCAGGUGCGAAAGCAGGUCAUAGUGAUCCGGUGGUUCUGAAUGGAAGGGCCAUCGCUCAACGGAUAAAAGGUACUCCGGGGAUAACAGGCUGAUACCGCCCAAGAGUUCAUAUCGACGGCGGUGUUUGGCACCUCGAUGUCGGCUCAUCACAUCCUGGGGCUGAAGUAGGUCCCAAGGGUAUGGCUGUUCGCCAUUUAAAGUGGUACGCGAGCUGGGUUUAGAACGUCGUGAGACAGUUCGGUCCCUAUCUGCCGUGGGCGCUGGAGAAUUGAGGGGGGCUGCUCCUAGUACGAGAGGACCGGAGUGGACGCAUCACUGGUGUUCGGGUUGUCAUGCCAAUGGCACUGCCCGGUAGCUAAAUGCGGAAAAGAUAAGUGCUGAAAGCAUCUAAGCACGAAACUUGCCCCGAGAUGAGUUCUCCCUGAGACUUUAAGUCUCCUGAAGGAACGUUAAAGACGAUGACGUUGAUAGGUCGGGUGUGUAAGCGCAGCGAUGCGUUGAGCUAACCGAUACUAAUGAACCGUGAGGCUUAACCUU
rnacentral:rRNA from 1 species